UGUCUUGUGCCACCCUUGAGAUGAAUUUUAAUUCAGUAGAAUAUCUUUGCCAGCUAGUACCAACAUACCGUAUUGAUAGCUCUAAAUUAGGUUUCUACGCUUUCCUCCUUCAUGAAGGAACUGCAUAUAAACUACAAGCAGGGGUUAAGGGAAACAUGCCAGGUCAGCUGAGAUACAGAAACAGAUGAGCAAAAGGCAAAUAACAGAGGAGGUAAGAAGGAAGAGCAAGCAUCUCUAUGUCUACAACUCUGCUACGUUAGGAACUCACUAAUAAAUAUUGCAAUAUUUACCA